rnacentral:rRNA from 1 species
UGAACGCUGGCGGCGUGCCUAAUACAUGCAAGUCGAGCGAACAGACGAGGAGCUUGCUCCUCUGACGUUAGCGGCGGACGGGUGAGUAACACGUGGAUAACCUACCUAUAAGACUGGGAUAACUUCGGGAAACCGGAGCUAAUACCGGAUAAUAUAUUGAACCGCAUGGUUCAAUAGUGAAAGACGGUUUUGCUGUCACUUAUAGAUGGAUCCGCGCCGCAUUAGCUAGUUGGUAAGGUAACGGCUUACCAAGGCAACGAUGCGUAGCCGACCUGAGAGGGUGAUCGGCCACACUGGAACUGAGACACGGGCCAGACUCCUACGGGAGGCAGCAGUAGGGAAUCUUCCGCAAUGGGCGAAAGCCUGACGGAGCAACGCCGCGUGAGUGAUGAAGGUCUUCGGAUCGUAAAACUCUGUUAUUAGGGAAGAACAAAUGUGUAAGUAACUAUGCACGUCUUGACGGUACCUAAUCAGAAAGCCACGGCUAACUACGUG